rnacentral:rRNA from 1 species
CGGGAAAGCUGGGCGGGCGUGCCUAAUACAUGCAAGUCGAGCGAAUGGAUUACCGAGAAUUGCUCUUAUGAAGUUAGCGGCGGACGGGUGAGUAACACGUGGGUAACCUGCCCAUAAGACUGGGAUAACUCCGGGAAACCGGGGCUAAUACCGGAUAACAUUUUGAACCGCAUGGUUCGAAAUUGAAAGGCGGCUUCGGCUGUCACUUAUGGAUGGACCCGCGUCGCAUUAGCUAGUUGGUGAGGUAACGGCUCACCAAGGCAACGAUGCGUAGCCGACCUGAGAGGGUGAUCGGCCACACUGGGACUGAGACACGGCCCAGACUCCUACGGGAGGCAGCAGUAGGGAAUCUUCCGCAAUGGACGAAAGUCUGACGGAGCAACGCCGCGUGAGUGAUGAAGGCUUUCGGGUCGUAAAACUCUGUUGUUAGGGAAGAACAAGUGCUAGUUGAAUAAGCUGGCACCUUGACGGUACCUAACCAGAAAGCCACGGCUAACUACGUGCCAGCAGCCGCGGUAAUACGUAGGUGGCAAGCGUUAUCCGGAAUUAUUGGGCGUAAAGCGCGCGCAGGUGGUUUCUUAAGUCUGAUGUGAAAGCCCACGGCUCAACCGUGGAGGGUCAUUGGAAACUGGGAGACUUGAGUGCAGAAGAGGAAAGUGGAAUUCCAUGUGUAGCGGUGAAAUGCGUAGAGAUAUGGAGGAACACCAGUGGCGAAGGCGACUUUCUGGUCUGUAACUGACACUGAGGCGCGAAAGCGUGGGGGAGCAAACAGGAUUAGAUACCCUGGUAGUCCACGCCGUAAACGAUGAGUGCUAAGUGUUAGAGGGUUUCCGCCCUUUAGUGCUGAAGUUAACGCAUUAAGCACUCCGCCUGGGGAGUACGGGCCGCAAGGCUGAACUCAAAGGAAUUGACGGGGGCCCGCACAAGCGGUGGAGCAUGGUGGUUUUAUUCGAAGCACGCGAAGACCUACCAGGUCUUGACUCCUCUGACAACCCUAGAGAUAGGGCUUCCUCCUUCGGGAGCCAAAGUUGACAGUG